GAAAUGCGAUAAUUAAUGUGAAUUGCAGAAUUCAGUGAAUCAUCGAGUCUUUGAACGCACAUUGCGCCCCCUGGUAUUCCGGGGGGCAUGCCUGUCCGAGCGUCAUGGCUGCCCUCAAGCACGGCUUGUGUGUUGGGCUUCCGUCCCUGGCAACGGGGACGGGCCCAAAAGGCAGUGGCGGCACCAUGUCUGGUCCUCGAGCGUAUGGGGCUUUGUCACCCGCUCCCGUAGGUCCAGCUGGCAGCUAGCCUCGCAACCAAUCUUUUUAACCAGGUUGACCUCGGAUCAGGUAGGGAUACCCGCUGAACUUAAGC
rnacentral:misc_RNA from 1 species